CACUCGGCACCACCAAGCAAUCACUCAAUCAGCUCUUGGGUCCAGACUAUUUCCUUUUAUAAAAAGCUUGUAAGGACCCUACACAAUGGAGUAGAACAUAUCUCGUUCAAUUGGCCGGGCAUUAAAUAGGGAAUACUUUAGGUUCAGUGUAGGAGGUAUGACUGAUGUGGCUGAGAUAAAGGGACACAGGAGGACAUAUGUUGGUCCCUUGCCUGGUAAAGUGAUACAGUUUAAAGAAAGUACAAAUUGAGAAUCCACUCAUACUGAUUGAUGAACUGGGACAUGGUACCAGGUCUCUGGUUAUUAUAUCGGAAGAGAAAGAAGCCAUUGCUCAGAAUUACGAGAUACAACAAGCCCAUUCUUUCUCUGGUUGAGAGGAUUGGCAGGUCCUCAUAGAAACUUAUGCCCUCUAGUUACUCAUCAAGUGGUACUACACAGAGAGAGAGAGAGUGGAUGAGGAACCUAUAGAAACACGUUGAGAAGAUAUUAUAUACGUAAAGCAGCUUUAAAGUCGUAUCACUAACACAGACAAAAUGAUGAUGAUGAAGAUGAUGAAAAAAGAAGAAACAAAAGAAGAAAAUAAACCUGCUACUGCUGUCUCUCCUGUCACUGUCUCUUCUACUAAUUUAAAAGAUUUUGUCAGUCAGUCUUAGUUUCUGAUCACCUCUAAAAGUAUGAUCAUGGGUUUAGCUUGGACGUCACUGAGUGUUACAACUCUAUGUGGAGACAGGCAUGAUUGAAGGGCAGGGGUUGUCUAAGUAGGGAGAAGGAAGUAUGACUACUACUGGUCAGAUGGGAGAUGUAAUGAAUGAGUCCACUGUCAUUGCUUAUGCAUUUGCUAAGUCAUUUUUGUCUUCAAAAUGUCCUUCAAAUGAUUUCCUUUAGAAAGCAAAAAUGCAUCUCCACAUUCCUGAGGGUGCUAUCCCAAAGAACGGUCCUUGCCAAGUGUUACUAUAGUCUUUGCCCUCCUCUCACUAGCUAGUCUAUGGAUCAUCCAAUACAUCAGAGUAUUGCCAUGACUGGUAAACUGUCACUCACAGGAAAGGCAAAACACUCAGGCAUAAGCUGUAUUAUACUGCCUGAGGCCAAUAAGAGGGACUAUGAGGAUCAGCUGAUUGCAUUACCUUAAGCGGUUAGCAGUGAUCAUGGAAGGGGAAACAAGGCACAGGGCUGGUACUGGUACAUCUGAAGAAGACAAAGAGAAAUGUCAUAUAUGAUGUUUUGGAUCAACCCGAACCCCUAGAUCCUGAAACAACAGACGAGGAGGGUGGUAGAGUCCUUUUGAAAAGAGGCACUAACAAUAGUCGUAAGAAAUGAAAUAUCAUGAUACUAGUAGCGUUGAACCUCAAACCACACUGGAGGAUCAGAUCUGCAAAAGAGAUCAAUGAAGAUUAUGUUAGCUUAAUACAAUGGUGGCAGCUCCAAUGGGACAACAUAGCACAUAAAACUUUUGCUGAAUCAAUGGACAAAAAAGAAUAUGUUUCGUUUGUCUAAAGGUAGUUUCUCCUAAUGUCAUUCACUGAUAUCAGGUAGCAUCGGCCUAGGCAGGUACCUCCUUCUACAAUGAAUCAAAGAUCAACAGAUACUAAUACACUGACUUGACAACAAUGAACAAUACAAGAGACAGCAUGAAAUAAGAUAGCUGCAUUAGGAUAGAGUGAGUUGGUGACUCAUUCAUUUGACUUUAACUACUUUGAUAUUACUGAUAAUGUGUAUUAAUAUACAGUAGAUGUUAGGUUUAUAGUCAAUAAUUAUUGAUAAUACUUUAA